rnacentral:rRNA from 1 species
UACAGAGGGGGCAAGCGUUGUUCGGAAUUACUGGGCGUAAAGGGCGCGUAGGCGGCCCGCUAAGUCGAACGUGAAAUCCCCGAGCUCAACUCGGGAACUGCGUCCGAUACUGGCGGGCUUGAAUCCGGGAGAGGGAUGCGGAAUUCCAGGUGUAGCGGUGAAAUGCGUAGAUAUCGGAAGGAACGCCGGUGGCGAAAGCGGCGUGCUGGACCUCUUCUGACGCUGAGGCGCGAAAGCUAGGGGAGCGAACGGG